GCCACUUUUUUGGUCAUACCAAUAACCAUAAGGAAGUGUUCAACAUUUAUUACUGUUAAUGUCUCUGAGUGAGUAUAUGACCAUAUGUCCAGUUUCUGAUACAGCCUCUUGUUUGUCCAUACCAAUAACUAUGAGAAAUGUUCAGCAUGUAUUACUAUUAAUGUCUGUGAGUCAGUAUAUGACCUAAUUCCCAACUUCUCAUAUAGCCACUUGUUUGUUCAUACCAAUAACUAUGAGGAAUUGUUCAGCAUUUAUUACUGUUAAUGUCUG
rnacentral:lncRNA from 1 species